rnacentral:rRNA from 1 species
AUUGAACGCUGGCGGCAUGCCUUACACAUGCAAGUCGAACGGUAACAGGUCUUCGGAUGCUGACGAGUGGCGAACGGGUGAGUAAUACAUCGGAACGUGCCCGAUCGUGGGGGAUAACGGAGCGAAAGCUUUGCUAAUACCGCAUACGAUCUACGGAUGAAAGCAGGGGACCGCAAGGCCUUGCGCGGACGGAGCGGCCGAUGGCAGAUUAGGUAGUUGGUGGGAUAAAAGCUUACCAAGCCGACGAUCUGUAGCUGGUCUGAGAGGACGACCAGCCACACUGGUACUGAGACACGGCCCAGACUCCUACGGGAGGCAGCAGUGGGGAAUUUCGGACAAUGGGCGAAAGCCUGAUCCAGCCAUGCCGCGUGCAGGAUGAAGGCCUUCGGGUUGUAAACUGCUUUCGUACGGAACGAAAAGCCUCUUUCUAAUAAAGAGAGGUCAUGACGGUACCGUAAGAAUAAGCACCGGCUAACUACGUGCCAGCAGCCGCAGUAAGAC